rnacentral:rRNA from 1 species
UACAGAGGUGGCAAGCGUUGCUCGGAAUCACUGGGCGUAAAGGGUGCGUAGGCGGGUUUUAAGUCAGAGGUGAAAUCCUGGAGCUCAACUCCAGAACUGCCUUUGAUACUGAAGAUCUUGAGUUCGGGAGAGGUGAGUGGAACUGCGAGUGUAGAGGUGAAAUUCGUAGAUAUUCGCAAGAACACCAGUGGCGAAGGCGGCUCACUGGCCCGAUACUGACGCUGAGGCACGAAAGCGUGGGGAGCAAACAGG